rnacentral:lncRNA from 1 species
UAUAAUUGCAUGUACCAUUCUCGGGAGACGAGAAUCCUCAUUUACGAUAAAAUAAAAAAUUAAAGUAUAAUUAUAAACUGAAAGAGCGCAAUAUCCUUUCAAAUAGUACAAUUUUUUAUACAAAUCGUGUAACAUAUGCACCAUUUUUUACACAUAUAGUAUGAAUUUAUAAUAUAUUAUAAUAUUUUAUACUAUUUGCCUAUAAUAUACUAUAUUAUUCGUAAUUUUGUAUAAAAAUCAUGCAAUAUGUUCACAAAUGAUGUAUAUGUUGCACUAUUAUACAAAUAUUGUACUAUUUGGAAGAGAAUGUUACACUAUUUAAGAAGUAUUACAUUCUUUCGUUUUUUUAUUAUUUGAUGUUUUUUAUUUAUACGUUAGAUGAGAAUUUUGUUUUUCAAGAAAAAGGUCGAUGUAAUAAUGAUUCGUCAGUUGUAUUUUUCAAGACAUUUAAUGUAUAUACCUUUUUAUGCAUUUUGAAAGAGAGGUAGUUUGGUGAUACUCUUAAAAAAUGUAAGGACUUAGAUUUUGGCAGUGCAGCUAAACUCUCUGUUGAC